rnacentral:rRNA from 1 species
UACGUAGGGUGCGAGCGUUGUCCGGAAUUAUUGGGCGUAAAGGGCUCGUAGGCGGUUUGUCACGUCGGGAGUGAAAACUCGGGGCUUAACUCCGAGCCUGCUUCCGAUACGGGCUGACUAGAGGUAUGCAGGGGGAGAACGGAAUUCCUGGUGUAGCGGUGAAAUGCGCAGAUAUCAGGAGGAACACCGGUGGCGAAGGCAGAUCUCUGGGCCGUAACUGACGCUGAGGAGCGAAAGCAUGGGGAGCGAAACAGG